AUUGAACGCUGGCGGCAGGCCUAACACAUGCAAGUCGAACGAUAACAGGAAGAAGCUUGCUUCUUUGCUGACGAGUGGCGGACGGGUGAGUAAUGUCUGGGAAACUGCCUGAUGGAGGGGGAUAACUACUGGAAACGGUAGCUAAUACCGCAUAACGUCGCAAGACCAAAGAGGGGGACCUUCGGGCCUCUUGCCAUCGGAUGUGCCCAGAUGGGAUUAGCUAGUAGGUGGGGUAACGGCUCACCUAGGCGACGAUCCCUAGCUGGUCUGAGAGGAUGACCAGCCACACUGGAACUGAGACACGGUCCAGACUCCUACGGGAGGCAGCAGUGGGGAAUAUUGCACAAUGGGCGCAAGCCUGAUGCAGCCAUGCCGCGUGUAUGAAGAAGGCCUUCGGGUUGUAAAGUACUUUCAGCGGGGAGGAAGGGAGUAAAGUUAAUACCUUUACUCAUUGACGUUACCCGCAGAAGAAGCACCGGCUAACUCCGUG
rnacentral:rRNA from 1 species